rnacentral:SRP_RNA from 1 species
GUGUGCUAAGCGGGGAGCCAGCGGUGCCCUGUACCCGCAAUCCGCUAUAGCGGGGCCGAAUUCCCGCCCGCGAAUGCCGAUGCCCGCCUGAUUGGCGGUAAGUGGUGUUGAUAGCCAAGCCCGGCGCAAUCGCAGGCCGUGAACCAUGUCAGAUCCGGAAGGAAGCAGCAUUAAGCGGUUGACGCGAUGUGCCGCCGGUCUCCUUGGCUUGAGCCGGCUGCCGUCUUUCUUUCGAGCUACGUAUCAACGGUGGGUGCACAC